AGCAGGGAGAGAACAGAUAUUAAAACUGCAGGUAAGAGCUGCUGGCAGGACUAUGAGAAUGAUCUGGAUGUUUUGUCUAGGCUCCACAAAAAACAGCUCCAUUAGCCAUUUGUGAUAUCUGCAAAGGGAGAGAUGGAUGUUAGCAGGCCUACCUCCCAUCUGUCAUCCCUGUCUCUUCUAGGGGCAAGCAAGAGGAGAAACUUUGACUCCUAUUCCCCAAGGUAAGACUUAUGUGUCUUCUCAAGCAUUUUAAAUCCCUGACUUUGGAUCCUACCCUUUCCCUUCUGGAGCCCUGUCAUCCUUUUCUGCCUUCUUCUUGAUUUCUGGCUUCUCCCCUCCCAGAGCCCAAUGGCCAAAGUGAACAGGGAUCAAUGUUUUACCUCCAAAGUGGAUCUGAAGACCCUGAAAUGAGAGGUGACCAACCCUGUCAAGGUAAGGGAUUGACUUUUUCUCAGGAGUUUGGAAUCACCAAGAACCUGUUGAAAUGAGGGAGGCAGCUAUGAAGGGAAUGAAUAUUGAGGUGUGAACAGAUAAGCUGAAGGUCUUUCCUUUCCCAAUCGAAAGGUACCCCCACCUUCCUUCUCUCUCACAGAAACACCUGGGGGUAUCAGUAUGAGAGGUUGGGAGGGCAGAUGUGGAAGCCUCUAAAGAAGAAAUUAUCUAUAAGUUGUGCAUAGGCAUUGAGUCUAAAAUAGGCAUUGAGGGGCACCUGGGUGUCUCAGUCAGUUAAGGGCCUGAAUUUGACUCAGGUCAUGAUCUCGUAGUUCAUUAAGUUCAAGCCCCAUGUAGGGCUCACUGCUGUCACAACAGAGCCUGCUUCAGAUCAAUCCUCUGUCUCUCUGUGUCUCUCUCUGCCCCUCCCUCACUGUGCUCUCACUCUUUCUCUCUCUUUCUCAUCUCUCAAAAACAAAUAAACAUUAGGGGCGCCUGGGUGGCGCAGUCGGUUAAGCGUCCGACUUCAGCCAGGUCACGAUCUCGCGGUCCGUGAGUUCGAGCCCCGCGUUGGGCUCUGUGCUGACCGCUCAGAGCCUGGAGCCUGUUUCCGAUUCUGUGUCUCCCUCUCUCUCUGCCCCUCCCCCGUUCAUGCUCUGUCUCUCUCUGUCCCAAAAAUAAAUAAACGUUGAAAAAAAAAUUUAAAAAAAAAAAACAAAUAAACAUUAAAAAACAAAAUAAAAUAAGCAUUGAAAAUUGCAAAGUUUAUUGCCAAGUUUAUCUGUCUAUCUAUCUAUCUAUUUAUUUAUAGUGAGUUCUAUGCCCAAUGCAGAGCUCAAAUUCAUGAACCUGAGAUCAAGAGUCGCAUGCUCUAUUGACUAAGCCAGCCAGGCACCCCUAAAAUUGCCAAAUUAAAAACAAUUAAAAAGUCCUUUUUUUUUCUCCAUAUACUCCUUUGCAUACAGCAAGGGAUAGCAAAGCUCCUUUGGAUAAAUGGGAGAGGUAGUCCAGAGGCCUUCACAUUCAGCACUCCUUCCCCUCCUUGCUCUACCCUGUGGCCUGGGCAAGUCACCUGGGCAAGGCUCUGGGUUAUCUCUUUGAGAUGCUUAAACUCUUCAGAAUCCAGAUUAAAAACACCCAUCUAGCACUCCCAUCUAUCUUUAUAGAUAAGACAUUGGGGCCCAGGCUGGUCAAGGGAUUUACUCACAGCUACAUAGUAGGUUCAUGGCAAAGCCAAGACUGGACCCAGGGCUCCUGAUUCCCAGACAUUUCACAGGGGCACAUCCCCUGCCCUUCCUCUCAGGGACUGCAGUGAGAAUUGGGCUGUUCCCAACAUCCAACUCCUCCACAUUAACAAAAGUCUUUUUUUUUUUUUGGACUAAGACCUAAAUUACAAGAAGGUGGCAGCCAAAGGAAGGUAUAAAGGAUGGUCAUCCCAGGCAGAGAGCAGUGACAAAUGUCCUGAAGCAAGUAUACCAUUCAGGUUAAAGGAACACGUGGAAAAGUCAGUGGCAGAAGAUUAGGUUGGAGAAGUAGGCCCAGGACUGGCCAUAUAGGGACUCAUGGAUUUUAUUUUAAAUGUAGUGGCAAGUUAACUGGGAAGUUUUAAGGAAGCCCUAAACAAUCAUGAUGUGAUACAUGAUUUCAAAAGGCCACUCUUGUGAUGUUGGGGUAUAGGCUGUGAGAAGAGCAAGCAUAGAAACUGAGAGCCUGCAAGAAGCCUGCACCACAGGGAGCUUCCAGCCCUGCAUGCUCUCCUAGGAAACCAGUCCCCACUCCAUCAGAUAGCAGCUGGUCUUCCUAAGUCUGGGUUGGUUGCUGGGUCAAGGCAUCCAGAGCUAGGUGACAGAUCCACUUGCAAAGGAUGGUUGCCAUGGUGUUUCUGUAAAUGCAAACAAGGUGCUGCCAUUCUUCCCCAGCCCAGAGCCCCAGGGAAAAGCAUGGGAGAGCUGGAGAACUCUUUGUGGGAGCCAGAAGGACAGACAAUGGGUGGGCUGAGUCAUUGUAGCUUACUCAAAUCAGGCUGUAAUUGAAGCAUUUUAUGAGGGAAAGUAGGUGAGGAAGAGGCCACCUUCCCACAUACUGAUUCCAAUCCUUUGUUUCUUCUUGUUUUAGGACUUCUUUGAGCCAUCCCCCACUGUGGGCCACAACCUUGUUGCUGAUUGAGACCUCAUAUGAAGCAUCUCUGCCCCAGUGCCCUCUGCCCUCCAGAGGGGCAGUUCUAGGAUGACCCAAAUCUGGAUCAUUAAAG
rnacentral:lncRNA from 1 species